UUUUUUUUUUUUUUUUUUUUUUUGCUUUCCAUUUGCUUGGUAAAUUUUCCUCCAUCUCAUUAUUUUGAGCCUCUUUGUGUCCUUGCAUGUGAGAUGGGUCUCCUGAAUACAGCACAUCGAUGGGUCUUGAAUCUUUAUACAAUUUGCCAGUCUGUGUCUUUUAACUGGGGCAUUUAGUCCAUUCACAUUUAAGAUUAUUAUUGUUAUGUGUGAAUUUGAUCCUGUCAUCAUGAUACUAUCCAUUUAUUUUGCACAAAUUCUGGGUUGAGAAUUCUUUUCUGUAAGAAUGUUGAAUAUUGGCCCCCACUCUCUUUUUGCUUGUAGGUUUUCUGCUGAGAGGUCUGCUGUUAGUCUGAUGGGCUUCCCUUUGUAGGUAUCCUGGUCUUUCUCUCUGGCUGCAUUUAACAUUUAUUUCUUCAUUUUGACCUUGGAAAAUCUGACAAUUAUGUGUCUUGGGGUUGAUCUUCUCAUGGACUAUCUUACUGGUGUUCUCUGUAUUUCCUGAAUUUGAAUGUUGGCCUGUCUUGCUAAGUUGCGGAAUUUUUCCUGGAUAAUAUCUUGAAGUGUGUUUUCCAGCUUGGUUCCAUUCUCUCUGUCUUUUUCAGGUACUCCAAUCAAUCAUAGGUUCAGUCUUUUUACAUAGUCCCAUAUUUUUCAGAUGUUUUGUUCAUUCCUUUUCAUUCUUUUUUUCUGUAAUCUUAUCAGCAUGCCUUUUUUUCAGCAAGAGGAUCUUCAAAAUCUGACAUCCUUUCUUCUGCUUGGUUGAUUCACCUAUUGAUACUUGUGUAUGCUUAACGAAGUUCACGUGCUAUGUUUUUCAGCUCCGUUCGGUCAUUUAUGUUCCUCUCCAGCCUGGUUAUUCUAGUUAGCCGCGCCUGUAACCUUUUAUCAGGAUUCUUAGCUUCUUUGCAUUGGGUUAGAACAUGCUCCUUUAGCUCAGCAGAGUUUGUUAUUACCAACUUUCUGAAGCCUACUUCUGCCAAUUCAUCCAUCUCAUCCUCUGUCCAGUGCUGCAUCCUUGCCGGAGAGGCAUUGCAAUCAUUUGGAAGAGUAGAGGCACUCUGGCUUUUUGGGUUUUCAGCAUUUUUUUGUUGAUUCUUUCUCAUCUUCAUGAAUUUCUCUAGCAUCGAUCUUUGAGACUGCUGACCCUUGGAUGGGGUUUUUGUGGGGACUUUUUUCGUUGAUGCUGUUGUUGCUUUCUGUUUAUUUUUCUUUCAAUGCUCAGGACCCUCUGUUGUAGGGCUGCUGUGGUUUGCUGGGGGGUUCACUUCAGGCCCUAUUCAUCUGGUUUGCUCCAGCACCUGGAGAGAUCACUCCAGGAGUCUGGAGAACAGCAAAGAUGGGUGCCUGCUUCUUCCUCUGGGUUCUCUGACCUCAAGAGGCACCGACCUGAUGCCAGUAGAAAUGCUCCUGUAUGGAGUGUCUGAAAACCCCUGUUGGAGGGUCUCACCCAGUUGGGUGGCACAGGGAGCAGGACCCAUUUAAUAAAGUACUUUGACUGUCCCUUGGUGGAGGGGGUGUGCUUCACUGGGGGGAAACCCCCUUGUCUGGGCUGCCUGGAUUUCUCAGAAUCAGCAGGAGGAAACACUUACCCUGCUGGUCUGCUGAGACUGCAACCACUCCUCCCCCAGGGGCUCAGGCCCAGGGAGAUCAAAGUUCUGUCUCUGAGCCCCUGGCUGGAGUUGUUGAAGUUCCUGCAAGGCCCCACCCAGUGAGGACAGAUGGGUUAAGGUCAGGCCUGAAGAGGCACUCUGUCCACAGUCUGCCUCAGCUGGUGUGUUGGGCUGUGGGGGAUACCUCUGGGACCAGGCCAUCCAGCUUCCUACUCCAGCAGAGGAAAAGUGUGGCCUGGAGCUAUAGAGAUGGCUGCUGCCCUUCCACUACCCUGGGAGCUUAGUGUGUUAGGAGACUGUCAGUCCCAGUGUUGGCUGUUUUCCCUCCCUCAAGGAGAUCAAAUGGCUUAGACAGCAGGUAGCCGCAGCUGUGGUGCUGGUCGGGGCAGGCUCAAGCAGAUUCUAGCUUAGUGGCUGUUGAGAAUUGGCGUGGCUCUGUGGUUGGGACUCUCAGUCCCCGUGUCGUGGGUUCAUGAGUGGGAUCUUUCAAUCUGCAGGUUGCACAGUUCUGUGGAAAAAGCACGUUUUCCCAGGCUGGGUCGCACACUCGCUCAAUGCCUCCCUUGGCUUGGGGGUGGAGGCUCCCCUGUGCCAUGUGGCUCUCAGGUGGUCUGCCAUACCACACUGCUCUUCCUUCCACUCCGUGGGGCAUGCCAGCUGCCUAGUCAGUUGUGAUGACAGAACCCGGAUGCCCUGUUUGCCAGUGCAGGAUUCGCACACGUUAUGGUUCUUUUCCAUGGAGCCUCUGAUCACGCUGCUUCUAGUUGGCCAUCUUGGCCCCACCCCCGGUAUUCUCAUAUUAGAAGAGCGCUUAAUAUAGUUCGUAGCACAAGGAGAAAAUCAUGUUAAUCUUCACAGAUACUACAAAAGCACUUGUUAAAAUUUAACAAUAAAUCUUGAUUUAAAAAUGUCUUCAAUAAAAUAAGAAUAAGAUUUUUUUUAUAUAUGACAAAACUGGCCCAUCUAUAUCUCAGUGUGUAUGCAUAUGUUUGCUCCAAAACCUGGCAUCAUGCUUAGCGGGAAAAAGACUAGAAAUAGUCCUUCUAAAGUUCUGUUAAACUCAGGAACAAAACCAAUGUGCCCUCUAAUGUGUUAUAAAAGAUACUAGCCAAUUAUAUUACAGUGUAAUUAUACAAGAGAAAGGAAUAAUCAAUAUCAAAAUACGAAUAGUGAAGACAAAAAAAUCUUCUAUUUACAGAUGAUAAUAUUGGGGGUUUUCUCGUUUGUUUUUUAGAGGGGUUCUUGCUAUGUUGCCCAGGGUGGUCUCAAACUCCUUAGCUCAAAUGAUCCUCCUGCCUCAGCUUUCCCAGCAGCUGGGUGCACCUACCCUGCACGGCUCAGAGGAGUAUAUUUUUUAAAUGAAAAAAUAUAAAAUGAUCAACUCAACAACUUCUAUAAAACAAGAGGAUUCAGUAAGUACACUGAUGGAAAAAUCAGUGUGCAGAAAUUGAUAUCUUUCAUAUAUACAAAUAACAACCAGUGAGAAGAUGUAAUGGGAAAGAUUUAAAAUCACUUUAAAUAACAUCAACAAGAAAUUCCUAGGGAUAAAAUUUAAGGAUCUGAUAUCAAACUGCUACAGAAAAAAAUACUACAGCACCCUUAAAGGACACAGAAUAAGACUUGAACAAAUGGAAAGGCAUCUUUUGUUUGAAUAGGUAGAUUCAAAAUAAUAAAGUUAAUUCUUAAAUUACUUUAUAAUUUAAUGUGGUCUCCAUAAUACUUUGAGACCUUUUAUUCUGGAAUUACACAAAGUUAUUAUUCUAAAAUACAGAAGAAUAUCUAGGAGAACUCAAUAUUAAAGCAUAUUCUAAAAGCCAUGUAAAUUAAAACAAUGAUGUACUGGUAAAUGAAUACACAACCUUCUAAUUUUGCAAAGUAGAAAGUUCUUAAAUAGAUCUACAUGUAUUUGUGAAUUUAGAAUGUAAAGACAUCAUCUUACAUUUGCAAGAUAAAGAUAAGCUUUUUAGUAAAUGCCAUGGUAAACAAAUAAAUAUAAAUGGCUCAUAAAUACAUAUGAACCUCAGUCAUAAUAAGAGAAAUGCAAAUUAAUGCUAAAUCAAAAUAUUUCUCACCUUCCAAAAUUGAUAAAACAUCAAAAGUGUGACAACAACACACUUUGUUGGUGAGACUUUAACAAUGAUCAAAAUUCCAAAGAAAAAUAUCUCCCUUUGACAAAAUGCUUUUAUGUUUCUGAGUAUCUAUACCCAUAUCUAUAUCGGUACACUUAUAAAAUGUCCCCACUUAUAAAAUGUCCACAAUUGUUCAUUUAACUCUUUUCUUUUGCAGUAACAAAAAACUGCAAGUAAUUCUAGCUUUCCUCUAUAGGAGAUUGAUUAAAUAAACUGUGAAAUGCCCGCAAAAUAUAGUACUGUAUAAUUACUUAAAAUAAAUACUUCGGAGGGUCUCUAAGUGCUGAUAUGAAUCAUUUUAAGUGAAAAGCAAGAUGCUGGCCUGUGGAAUUAUCAAAAUUCACAUCUACAUCUAUAUGUAUUGAUAUAUGUAUACAGGAAACCUUUAUAUGUGCAAUAAAAAAUAAGACUACAAACUCAUAUAUACUUUUAUUUCUAGACAAUAAUAUACAAGAAAUUUCUCUAAGAGGAGAGAAAGGAGAGAGAUCAUGGCAGAUGGGACAGAGACCUCAUACAGAUUUGUUGAAUUGCAACAUUAUGGGAGGUGCAAGUCACAUUUUUGGAAGAACAAGUCACAUUAUGUUGGAAUAUAUUUCUACAAGUUAUUAGGUAUUAUUUUUAUUUAAGAGUUCUAAAACAUAAACUAUUUUUUCAAAUCA
ensembl:lncRNA novel transcript